ACUGUUUCUGUCCUUGUUCUUGUUGUUAUUACUGGACUUGGAGUCAGAAACAGG
ensembl:miRNA MIR378D1 microRNA 378d-1